CAUGCAAGUCGGGCGGUAAGGCCCUUUCGGGGGUACACGAGCGGCGAACGGGUGAGUAACACGUGGGUGACCUGCCCUUAGCUCUGGGAUAAGCCUGGGAAACUGGGUCUAAUACUGGAUAUGACUCCGUGCCGCAUGGUGUGGGGUGGAAAGCCUUGUGCGGCUAGGGAUGGGCCCGCGGCCUAUCAGCUUGUUGGUGGGGUGAUGGCCUACCAAGGCGACGACGGGUAGCCGGCCUGAGAGGGCGAUCGGCCACACUGGGACUGAGACACGGCCCAGACUCCUACGGGAGGCAGCAGUGGGGAAUUUUGCGCAAUGGGCGGAAGCCUGACGCAGCGACGCCGCGUGAGGGAUGACGGCCUUCGGGUUGUAAACCUCUUUCAGCCCUGACGAAGCCCUGUGGGGUGACGGUAGGGGUAGAAGAAGCACCGGCCAACUACGUGCCGGCAGCCGCGGUAAUACGUAGGGUGCAAGCGUUGUCCGGAAUUAUUGGGCGUAAAGAGCUUGUAGGCGGUCUGUCGCGUCGGCUGUGAAAUCCCGGGGCUCAACUCCGGGCUUGCAGUCGAUACGGGCAGGCUGGAGUUCGGCAGGGGAGACUGGAAUUCCUGGUGUAGCGGU
rnacentral:rRNA from 1 species